rnacentral:lncRNA from 1 species
CAAGAGGCUGUUUUAACUUUCAAAUCAAAAAAUAUUGUUUGGAAAAUAGACACAUUUAAAUUUUUAACAAGCUAAGCUGUUGCUUGGUAAUGUUUUGUGGCUCGUACUCAGUUUGUUAAAUACUUGGGUUGGCUCAGUGCUUUAAAUUGUGGCCAGGGAAAUCAGACCUUGCACAGACUGGGGGGAUUUUGUACUACAUAUGAAUAGUACAGAAAUAGUGAUGGCUUCUUAGAUUUUCCUGCACUAAUAAAUACUAAUUUCCUUUUUUAUCAUAUAUGGAGGGAAAUAUAACUUUAAGACUAUGGAAGUCAUCAAUC